rnacentral:rRNA from 1 species
CAGCCGCCGCGGUAAUACGAAGGGUGCAAGCGUUACUCGGAAUUACUGGGCGUAAAGCGUGCGUAGGUGGUGGUUUAAGUCCGUUGUGAAAGCCCUGGGCUCAACCUGGGAAUUGCAGUGGAUACUGGGUCACUAGAGUGUGGUAGAGGAUAGUGGAAUUUCCGGUGUAGCAGUGAAAUGCGUAGAGAUCGGAAGGAACAUCUGUGGCGAAGGCGACUAUCUGGGCCAACACUGACACUGAGGCACGAAAGCGUGGGGAGCAAACAGGAUUAGAGACCCCGGUAGUCCCUGUCUCUUAUAC